rnacentral:tRNA from 1 species
GGGGAAUUAGUUCAAAUGGUAGAACACUUGCUUAGCAUGCAAGAGGCACCGGGAUCGAUACCCGGAUUCUCCA